AUUGAACGCUGGCGGCAGGCCUAACACAUGCAAGUCGAGCGGAUGAAGGGAGCUUGCUCCUGGAUUCAGCGGCGGACGGGUGAGUAAUGCCUAGGAAUCUGCCUGGUUGUGGGGGAUAACGUCCGGAAACGGGCGCUAAUACCGCAUACGUCCUGAGGGAGAAAGUGGGGGAUCUUCGGACCUCACGCUCUCAGAUGAGCCUAGGUCGGAUUAGCUAGUUGGUGGGGUAAAGGCCUACCAAGGCGACGAUCCGUAACUGGUCUGAGAGGAUGAUCAGUCACACUGGAACUGAGACACGGUCCAGACUACUACGGGAGGCAGCAGUGGGGAAUAUUGGACAAUGGGCGAAAGCAUGAUCCAGCCAUGCCGCGUGUGUGAAGAAGGUCUUCGGAUUGUAAAGAACUUUAAGGUGGGAGGAAGGGCAGUAAGUUAAUACCUUGCUGGUGUGACGUUACCAACAGAAUAAGCACCGGCUAACUUCGUG
rnacentral:rRNA from 1 species